UUAACUACUCAACAUUAAAAUCAAAUACAAGUGGCAACCAAAGCUCACAACUAAUCUCGUAUACAUAGUUCUUGAAUUACAAUCAUUCUUGAACACAACACUAGAUUAAAUUCUCUAAGAUCUCUGAAUAACUUCUACUCCUAAGAGUCUUCAAGAUAAUCGUCCACUAAUGCACCUGUUACUGAGAAUAAGAAGGAAAAUAAAGGAGUAAGCCCAAGUGGACUUAGUGAGGAGUACAAGGGAAAAACAGUGGAAUCAAAUAAUAAGGACAAUAACAAAACAAUGGACAAGUCGGACAUGAUAUUGGAAUUGGACCAUCUAGAGAAGGAUCAUUUUGUAAGGUACAAAGCCAAAGUAUGAGAGCACAACAAUCUGAUCAGAGUAAACAAUACAAUCAAUGUGUACAUGUAGAGAACAAUUUCAACGGGAAAUUCCCGGGUAUCAAUUAUGAACUUCGUGGAGAUUCCCACGGUUACAGUUCUAGAUAUCACAUAAGAAUUCCAUGGAGAUUCCCAUGGUAAUAAUUUUGGAUAUCAAAUAGAAAGACCAUGGAGAUUCCCAUGGUAACAAUUUGUUCAUGUACAUGUACCUGCCUUAUGACUCCCUUAGCCGUUACUACCUUAUACACCGAUCAGGGAAUGACCCUGCUAAUCAAUCAAUAGGCAUGCCCGGACGCAUGUCGAUUCAGCCAU
rnacentral:lncRNA from 1 species